UACGAAGGGGGCUAGCGUUGUUCGGAAUCACUGGGCGUAAAGCGCACGUAGGCGGAUUUUUAAGUCAGAGGUGAAAUCCCGGGGCUCAACCUCGGAACUGCCUUUGAUACUGGAGAUCUUGAGUCCGGAAGAGGUGAGUGGAACUGCGAGUGUAGAGGUGAAAUUCGUAGAUAUUCGCAAGAACACCAGUGGCGAAGGCGGCUCACUGGUCCGGUACUGACGCUGAGGUGCGAAAGCGUGGGGAGCAAACAGG
rnacentral:rRNA from 1 species